UGCAGUCGACGGAGUUCUUGAGGAAUGCGGCUUCGGCCAAAUGACUUUUGAACUUAGUGGCGGACGGGUGAGUAACGCGUGAGCAACCUGCCUUUCAGAGGGGGAUAACAUUUGGAAACAGAUGCUAAUACCGCAUAAGAUUACAGUACCGCAUGAUACAGUGAUCAAAGGAGCAAUCCGCUGAAAGAUGGGCUCGCGUCCGAUUAGAUAGUUGGUGAGGUAACGGCUCACCAAGUCGACGAUCGGUAGCCGGACUGAGAGGUUGAACGGCCACAUUGGGACUGAGACACGGCCCAGACUCCUACGGGAGGCAGCAGUGGGGAAUAUUGCACAAUGGGCGAAAGCCUGAUGCAGCAACGCCGCGUGAGGGAAGACGGUUUUCGGAUUGUAAACCUCUGUUUUCGGUGACGAAUAAAUGACGGUAACCGAGUAGGAAGCCACGGCUAACUACGUGCCAGCAGCCGCGGUAAUACGUAGGUGGCAAGCGUUAUCCGGAAUUACUGGGUGUAAAGGGAGCGCAGGCGGGAUAGCAAGUCAGCUGUGAAAACUAUGGGCUCAACCCAUAAACUGCAGUUGAAACUGUUAUUCUUGAUGGAGUA
rnacentral:rRNA from 1 species